GCUUUGAUGGUGAAAUGGUAGACACAUGAGACUGAAAAUCUCGUGCUAAAGAACGUGGAGGUUCGAGUCCUCUUCAAGGCA
rfam:Oryza barthii chromosome 6, whole genome shotgun sequence.